UUACCGUGGGUUUCUUUGGUCGAUCCAGCCGAUUCCGGUGACGGUUUGGCUUGAUUCAGACGGUGACCCCGAUUGAGAUUCAGAGCGAGUUGACUUUCGGAGUCAUGGGUUAAUCAGGGACGCGUGCUUGGUAUUGGUAUUCCGAUUUUCAGGUGAGUUCGGUACGAGAGAGGGUGGUCAGUGACGGGUUGCGUGAGCUGAUGUGUAGCCUCGAGCCGACUAUUCUAGCAGGGCGUGGAUUUUGGUAUUGUAUUUUGGGUAUAUUACACGGUUUGGUAUCGAGCGGAUAUAUUUUACGGAUCCGCUGU